AACCUUAGCCAAACAACCUCUAAAACCUAAUAACGUAUCUCCCCUCUCAAAUCUCCUCUCUCAAAUCUCAUCUCCGAUCUCUCAAUCUGUCCCUGACUGACGAGUGACAAGUUCAAGCGGCAUAACAGGACCAAGCUUUCUCUUUUCUUGCGAGUUGCGACAAUCUCUCUCCCCAUCCCUGGAAUAUAAAUGUUGAGCACCACGCCAAUAUUACCCCUUCCAGCGCCCCCGUUGGAUGGGAAUCUGGGACCAACACCUCCAGCGCAGGUGGUAGAGGAACCAAAGGAUGAUAACAUGGAGGAAAAUGAAGAGGACAACAAUAAAGCUAAUAAUGUUCCAACGUCUGUUGCAACACAUACGAGAACCAUUGGUAUCAUUUAUCCGCCUCCAGAUAUUAGGAGUAUUGUCGACAAGACUGCACAGUUUGUGGCGAAGAAUGGUCCAGAAUUUGAGAAGAGGAUUGUUCUAAAUAACGCUGGCAAUGCAAAAUUUAACUUCCUGAAUGCUUCUGAUCCUUACCAUGCCUAUUAUCAGCACCGUUUGGCUGAAGCUCGUGCACAGAAUCAGGCUUCUGGAGAGCAGCCUACUCAACCAGCAGACCAAGAAGCAGCCCCUGCUCCUCCUACCGCUGAUGGUGCUGAGGCAACUGCUAGGCCUGAUCCGUCAGCUCAGUUUAGACCUGUCAGAAGGGUUCUUGAGCCACCUGAGGCAGAGCAAUAUACUGUUAGACUCCCUGAAGGGAUCACAGGUGAAGAAUUGGAUAUCAUUAAGAUUACAGCACAAUUUGUGGCCAGAAAUGGGAAGUCUUUCUUAACAGGGUUAACGAGCAGGGAGAUUAAUAAUCUGCAGUUUCAUUUUCUAAAGCCUACUCACAGCAUGUUCAUGUUUUUCACUUCACUUGCGGAUGCGUAUUCGAAAGUUCUGAUGCCUCCUAAAGGCUUGACGGAUAAGCUGCGGAAGAGUGCUGCUGACAUGACAACAGUCCUGGAGCGAUGUCUGCAUCGAUUGGAGUGGGAAAAGUCACAGGAGCAGGCUAGGCAGAAAGCUGAAGAUGAGAUAGAACAGGAGAGGUUGCAGAUGGCUAUGAUUGAUUGGCAUGAUUUUGUUGUCGUUGAGACUAUAGAUUUUGCUGAUGAUGAGGAUCAGGAUUUACCUCCACCUAUGACCCUUGAGGAGGUUAUAAGGAGGAGCAAGAUGCCUACAUUGGAGGAAGAAGAGUAUGUUGAGCCCGGAAAAGAGGUGGAAAUGGAGAUGGAUGAAGAAGAGGUGCAGCUAGUCGAAGAAGGUAUGAGAGCUGCGACUCUUCAAGAGAAUGGUGAUGUCAAGAGUGCUGAAACCAUGGCAAUUGCAGAGGAACAGGACCCACCUAUGCGGAUUGUGAAGAACUGGAAGAGGCCUGAAGAGAGGAUCCCCGCAGAAAGGGACCCGACUAAGUAUGUUGUCUCUCCUAUAACUGGUGAGCUAAUACCUAUUAAUGAAAUGUCUGAACAUAUGAGGAUCUCUCUCAUUGAUCCAAAGUACAAGGAACAGAAAGACAGGAUGUUUUCGAAGAUUAANGGAAUAGGAAGAGCCGAAGCAGGUCAUAUGGGAUGGUCACACAGGUAGCAUUGGUCGCACUGCAAGCCAGGCAAUGUCUCAGAACACUAAUGCAGAUGACCAGAAUGAUGCUGCAAAUGAUGAAAGAAACNGAACACUAACUGCAGGGCUCCCUCCACCUCCCAGACCUGGUUUUCCAUCUGUUAGGCCACUACCUCCACCUCCUGGGCUUGCGCUGAAUAUUCCUAGGCCUCCUAAUACCGUCCAGUAUUCCACCUCCACCGGUGCUGGGGUUGCUGCUCCGCCUCCACCUCGACCUCCUAUGGUUAACAUGAUUCCUCAGGUUCGGCCCCCACCUCCUCCCAUGCCACAGAUGCUAGGUCAGCAAAAUCUCAUGGUAAACCGUCCACCAAUGCCUCCAUCAAUGGCCAUGAAUUCGCAUGGCCAUCCUAUUCCACCACCUCCUGGAUCACAGUUUACACCUUUGGGAGCACCUCGACCCUUUGUUCCCCUCCCGAUGUCCCAACCCGGAAUGUCUAUGGUUCCGCCUCCUCCUAUUCCCCAAGGAAUGCCGCCUCCUCCUCCACUGGAAGAAGCCCCUCCUCUACCUGAAGAGCCAGAGCCGAAGAGGCAAAAGCUUGAUGAGUCUGUUCUCAUUCCUGAAGAGCAGUUUUUGGCUCAGCACUCGGGUCCUGCAAGGAUCAAUGUAUCUGUGCCGAAUACUGACGAAGGGAAUCUCAAAGGACAAAUUCUGGAAAUCACAGUGCAAUCUCUGUCUGAAAGCAUUGCCAGUCUAAAAGAGAAGAUUUCCGGGGAGGUCCAGCUUCCUGCAAACAAACAAAAGCUGAGUGGAAAGGCUGGUUUUCUCAAGGACAACUUGUCUCUUGCAUACUAUAAUGUUGCAUCUGGAGAAACUCUCAGUCUCUCUCUGAGAGAACGUGGUGGCAGAAAGAGAUGAAUGGGGAGUUAUUUUGCAUGGCCUUCAAAGAUUUUGGCAUGUUGGCGAUCAUCCAUGAGGACAACAGGAAGUUUAUUAGUUCUAUGUUUACAAGUGCAAUGACUGUGCGUUGUGUUUAUGUUACUAAUUUGUGUUUAUCUUAAUAUGUGCAGUUGCUUCACCCUAACUGGAGCUCAGUUGUUAUUUUGUUGUAUCUUCUAUGUCCAAGGCCAUUCUGGAUUAGAAUUUUCUAAUGUAUUCUUGGCAGAUAUUCCUUAUAAUUUUAGAGGCUUCGCAUAGCAAUUUAAUAUCUCUGAUUCUUAUCUGGAUUUUAGGACUUAUUUCUGUAGAAGAUGUGCUUGUCGUGGUGGGGGAUACUUGUCGCAAGCACAGCUGCCUCUUUUGUGCUUUAACCCUGUUAAGGGCUGUGAUAUAUGCUGUAUUCGUCGGUUGUUUUAUGAGCUCAAUAGCAAAAGCAGUUUGCCCUGCCUUUCAGAGGAUGUCGCAGGUUGACAACAUGCUUUUGUAAUCUUUGGAAGUUCCUUAUUUUCUGGCGGAUAAUGUGCCAUCUUAGGUUCAUUAGCUAUAAUUUUUAACGGAAUUGGUUGAUCGGGUUAUAUGUCUAUACUUUUGUGCAGUUUGUGGCUUGCGCCACGCAUUUGUGGGGUCUAUUGAUCAUAAUUUCACUUCCAAUUGAUGAUAUUAGUACUAGUGAUUGGCAGCUGGGAAUGUGAUGGACAUAUUAAGAAUCUGAAAUCAUGCUCUCUAUACAUGUGUUUUCUUUUAACUGCCCAGAUUUCCCUGGCAAGCAGAAGUUAUGAACAGAAACCAUUGGAUGCGACUUCUAGAUGAGGUGGCUUUUUUGGUGAGGCAAUGAAGUAUCAAGGAGUUUGCUUGGA